GUUUUUCAUAUAAAUUUUAAUUUUUCUCAUUUUUGUUUUAUUUUCUUCUCAUAAUUUGAUUUAGCGAUUUUUUCGUACAUAUAAAGUUGUGGUAGUUGCUUAUCACUUAUAAUUUUCUAGUUAUUUUUCAACUUCUUCAACGGAAGCAAGUUCUUCUACUGAUUGGAAUUCUUGAUUUGUUAUGUUUACGCCUGUGGUUUCUUUUUAUAAAAGUCAUGAAUUUGUCAAUGACCAUCUUAGAGACUUUGAUGUAAUUUGUAGCCAUUUGCUUUGUUACAUCUACGCCAAAUGUUGUGCUAUUGUAAAGACUAAUUUUCUCUCUCUGUGUUAUUAUAUUUUUCCAUUUCUAUGGAAUCAUGAAUCCAGCUGUGAAUCAGAAAUUGGUCCAACUUUGGAUACCGUCAAAGUGCAAUUAUCGGCAAUUCUCUUUUGUUUGAUCGGACUGCGCCUACAAUUACAGUUGUUGACUAAAAAACAACACUUAGUAUGUGUUGUGUGAAUAUACUUUCUUUUUAAAAAUAAUAGUUCAUAAAUAGUGAUGUAAGCUUCUGGCAAAUUUAAAUGUUUAAAAGGAAUUUGGACCGAGCUUUACCUCAAAUUGGUUUAUUACAUUCUUUAUUCGAUUUUCGCGCAUUUUGACCUUUAUUGUGGACAACUUGAUAACAAAUAUAACAUGAUUCCACAACUAUUUUUCUUCGAGUGGAACCUAUCUCUUGAGAAUAAUCACCUGGCUUACUUGAUAUUCUUUGUUGAUCUGUUUGUAGGAUUUAUUGAUUUUUCGAUCGCAAUCCGAGUGGUAAAACUUCUCGUAAGUUGAAUCGAUUAUUCACAUAAUUAUUAACUUGAUAGUCGCCAAAUCAUUCUACGCUAAUUUGUCUUUGAGAUCACAUACAUCAAUGGCUUUUUUUGUUGGUGUAAAAAUCAAUCAACUAACUGAAUGUCUCUGUACUUCCAUGUGUACAGAUUUUUGCCUAAUAAUAUUUCGAAUUGGUUUGAUAAUGGUGCUCCAGAUCAAACAGGGCUAUCUAAACAGUGAAUGUUGUGACAAUUAACUAGUUGGAACGCUUCAAACGAUUCAUCAUCAUCCACCAGAGUAGUAUAAAAAUUAUCCAUUGAAAUACCUCUUCCGACAAAAUAUUUUACCAUUUAUUUCAGUGUUGUGAUUUGCCGGUGUAAAUAUGACCUUCCAAUGGAUUUGAUUACUUCAAAUCCAUAUAUUACUGUUUUUGAUGGUACCUACUGGGAUAAUUGGCAUUAUUUCUAUAUAUUAUAUUUUUAUGGCAGUCUCCAUAUUUGUUGUUGUAAUUAUUGAAAUAGCUCUCAAAUGCUCUUCUGUGAGCUGAGAAGCUUAUAUAUUUUUUCUUUAAUUUAGAAUUGAGUAAUUAACUAUGAAGAAAAUCUUUUCAAUUCGUCAAAAUCAGAUGGUAAAGCUUGACAGAAAGAGAGUGAUUUUACCAUUAUGGAAUUUAGCCGUGACAUUAUCUUCAGUAGCGAAAUCUUCACCAUAUAACUCAUUCAAAGAUCUAUAUUUUUUCUUCACCAUUAAUCUAUAAAGUUUUGUAAUUAUUGUUAGUACUGACAUGAGGGUUUAAUUGUAAUCUAUAUACUAUUAAAAUUAUUUUACAGCCUAGAUGAAGAAGGAACUGAAUGUAUUUAUGAUAAAAUAAUGCAUAAAAGUUACAAUAUUCUGUUUUGAAGAAAAUGUAAAAACACGUCGAACAGAUUAUUCCACUGGAAGCUACGUUUUUCUCACAAUUUGACAAAGCUUGUUUUACUGCAUUUAAAUAGAGGAUGUAUGAGAAGAGAAAACGAUAAAAUAAAUAUUUUUAAUUUUAGUAACAACUGAACAGUCUAUUAAACCAAAACUAUUUCUAACAGGAAUUGUUCAAACUGUAUCCCGUUGACUAUCUGACAUCUCGCAAACGUGCGACCAUAAUCUGGUAGUGCACCAUCUUGUUCAAACUAAAUACUGGGAAGUUUUCCUUAUUAUAUAGAUCCAAAAAUGCCACAAAUAGGUCCGUAAUCUCUGCCAUGCACAGAUAUCCCAAAUAUCGCUCAACUGUUGAAUUACCGUAAAAGAAAUAAGGAUCAAAAGUACAUCAUCUAUCCUGAUCAUCUCAUGAGAGUUUUUGAACAAGUUGAGCUUUGUAAGAGUGCAAUUUUUGUUUCUUCAUUAACUACCAAUGACUGACUAACGUUUUUUUGUUAGGUAAUUUCAGUUGUAGUUGCGUGAGGUUUGUUUUCUAAUGACUGUAGAAUAUCUAACUUUGCAUCGUCGCUUAUUUCUUGUCUUCCAGAUUUUGGAGCAUCCCUCGCUCUUUUCGUUUCACUAAAUUUUCCAGCAAUUCUAUUUAUUGUGCUUCUAGCAGUUAGGGGAUGAAGAAGACGUAGUGAUAAAAUUGUAAUGUCGCUAAUUGUAAAACUGACACUGACAAAAUAGUUGAAAAAAUUAAUAAAAACAGGUGCUCUUACUAGGACCCUCGUUAAGGUGGCCCCCUGAUUUAUAUUUUAAAAUUUCGUUAAUACUAAUCGUUAGAGAAUCGUUAUAGAGGAUAAGAUAGAAAAGAAAAAUUGUGAGAGAAUAAUUAGUUUUAAUUUAUUGUGUGAAGUGUGAAAUGGACUUUAAUGGAUUUUUAUUUUUUUUAACGCUAGAACAUCUUUAGAGAGAGUAGGAGUGGAAAGCUCUAAGCUCCAAUAUAAUAAAAUCCAAACUAUUUUGGGAUUGCCUAGAAAAAUCGAACAAACUAGGCGAGAAAAAUAAAAUUACCCUACAAUGGAUUCCGGGACACACCGGAGCGAAGGGAAAUGAAAUAGCUGAUAAGCUUCCUAAAAUGGGGGCGGACAAGCCCUUCAUGGGAUCCAAACCAAACUCUUCUGGUGGUAUCAGCUACAGAACAAUGGAAAAAGCACUGGAAAAUAAGGUAGAUAGGAGCAAAACCAAUUAUUGGAACGUCUGAGACAGGCAAAGACUCUUCAGGGAAACUAUAAUAAAAAUAAAUCUGCUGAAUGUGUCAACCUAAGAAAGAACAAUCUACGAAUACUAAAAGGAGUUGUAUCUGGCCUCUGUUGCCUCAGCAACAACACCUGAAGACGCUAGACCUAGCAGAUAAUUUGGCGUGCAGGUUUUAUUGUACAGAGGAUGAAACCUCCAUCCACAGUCUCUUAAAGUGUGAAAAACUAAGGAGCUCCAGAGGACUACACAUGGGAGCGCUUGAAAUAGAAGACGAAGAUCUCUGGCAAUUAAAGCCAUCUCACAUUCUAUACUAUUUAGAGGAGUGGGAUUGAUGGAUCAGCUGUAAACACUGGUUUUCUUGUAUCUUAACAAGAAAAGGGAACACAAUAGAUCGUUUGGGUCGCAGUGUAUACGAGUCUCCACAUCUAUAUUGGUUCAAAUAUUACGAUUAUUUAAUAUUAAUUGGAAUAAUCAGUCUCUGUAAUUUUUCUUUUCUAUCUUACUCUCUGUAACGAUUCUUUAACGAGUUAAAAAAAUAAAACGUCCAAGAGCAUUUUUACGGCAUCAGGUAAUUACACACAAUAAAAUAAAAACGUUUUUAUAUAAAAACUAAUUACUCUCUAACAAUAUUUCUUUUCUCUCUUGUCCUCUCUAACAAUUCUCUAAUGAUUAUCUAACGAUUGGGAUUAGGGAAAUUUUUAAAUAAUUAAAUCAGGGGACCAACUCCACGGAGGUCUUACUAGGUAGUUUUACGUUUCAAUUCAAUUUUUUAAUUUGUUUUUUAUUCAAUCUCUCAGUUUUUCUUGUGUCGUGUUUUGUGAUUUAUUUAGAAAUGAACGUAUAUUUUGUGAAUUUUGUGCAUUACUUUAUCAUAGUCUAUAUAGUCCAGGAAAAAUCAGCUCAUGAGCAUCGAAAAAUAUUCCACCUCAAUUUUAUAUAUUGCCAUGGGGCAACCCCGUCCCAUAUUGUUUAUACAAUUGCAAAAAAUUAGUAUUUUUCAACCGGAUAAGUUUUUUCAUAUUCUUUAUUGAAAUACAAAUAAAAGAGGUUCUAUGACUUUUUAUGAUAAGGUUAAUAUUUUCAGAGAUAUGAAUUUUUAAAAGUUCCAAUAAUCUCAAAUUCAAGUUUUUUUGACCCAUGAGAAAUAUAUUUAAACAAUUUCGGCUUACGGGGUUGCCCCAAGACAACAUACAUUUAUAUCAUCAGAAGGGCAAUUUGAAGGGGACCGCAUGAAAAAAUUGAGGUGGAAUAGUUUUCUGUACUAAUGCGCUGUUUCCUCCUGGACUAAUAGGUAUUAUGUCGAAUAUUUUAAAAUUUACUAAUCGAAAUUAUUUUUUGUUGGUAAUACAAUGUGAUAUAUAUAAUAAUAAUUGUGAUUAUUUGACGUUUUUUAGAUGAUAGUGGAUAUAUUUGAUGUAUAGCGUGAGUUAUUAUAUUCCUAGAAAACAAACAGUUAUUUCGAAAAAAAAUUAUACUCAAAUUUUGAAUUUAUUUUAUAAGCUGAAAACAUUUAAUAAAAACUUUUUCAUUUUAUUGAUCAUAAUGUGUAUGUUAAUAGAAAAUUUGCUCAACAAAGUUUUAUUUACUGUACCAGGUGUUUCGUUAUUGAAUAAAUUUUUUUUCAUCGAAA